CAGCAGCAGCCACGGUAAUACAGAGGGUGCGAGCGUUAAUCGGAUUUACUGGGCGUAAAGCGUGCGUAGGCGGCUUCUUAAGUCGGAUGUGAAAUCCCUGAGCUUAACUUAGGAAUUGCAUUCGAUACUGGGAAGCUAGAGUAUGGGAGAGGAUGGUAGAAUUCCAGGUGUAGCGGUGAAAUGCGUAGAGAUCUGGAGGAAUACCGAUGGCGAAGGCAGCCAUCUGGCCUAAUACUGACGCUAAGGUACGAAAGCAUGGGGAGCAAACAGGAUUAGAUACCCGGGUAGUCCCUGUCUCUUAUAC
rnacentral:rRNA from 1 species